rnacentral:rRNA from 1 species
AGCAGCCGCGGUAAUUCCAGCUCCAAUAGCGUAUAUUAAAGUUGUUGCAGUUAAAAAGCUCGUAGUUGAAUUUCGGGAUCAAUUUGCUGGUCGUGCCUUCGGUACGCACUGGUAUUAUUGGUUUCUCCUUUCUGAUGAAUCGCGAUGUCAUUAAUUUGGUGUCGUGGGGAAUCAGGACCGUUACUUUGAAAAAAUUAGAGUGUUUAAAGCAGGCUCACGCUUGAAUACAUUAGCAUGGAAUAAUGAAAUAGGACGUUUGAUUCUAUUUUGUUGGUUUCUAGGAUCGACGUAAUGAUUAAUAGGGAUAGUUGGGGGCAUUAGUAUUCAAUUGUCAGAGGUGAAAUUCUUGGAUUUAUUGAAGACUAACUACUGCGAAAGCAUUUGCCAAGGAUGUUUUCAUUAAUCAAGAACGAAAGUUAGGGGAUCGAAGACGAUCAGAUACCGUCGUAGUCUUAACCAUAAACUAUGCCGACUAGGGAUCGGAUGAUGUUAAUUUUUAAUGACUCAUUCGGCGUCCCG